UAUCUGGAAUCACUCCUGAUAUGAAAGUAUUGCUUGCAUUGAGGAAGUUGAGGUUGACCAAAUUUCCAAUGGCUGAGGGGAUACUCCCCGAGAUCCUAGUGUCCUGGACGUUGAGUAUUUGCAUGGUUGUUGAGAGGUUCACUAUUGAAAUUGGCAUCUUCCCUGUGAAAGCAUCAUUGUCGUUAAUAAAUAACUGUUGGAGCUGGCUGCAGUUUGACAUCGCAGUGAUAAAUUCCCACCCCUCCCUGUUGUCUGCUUCUAGCAUGUUGGUACCCAAGUCUGCACGUUGAAGAUCUUGUAAUCUCCCCAGCAUGUGAGGCACAUAUCCAGUGAGCCAAUUGUCAUGGAGGUCGAGCACCUCGAGUUCAGUGAGGUUGGAGAGUGAAGUAGGGAUGGAUCCAGUGAAAUCAUUGAUACCAAAACAAAGAAUCACCAUUCUGGGGAACCUGGUGCCAAUAUCGGUAGGAAUGCUACCCCGGAGCAUAUUUUCUUGGAUCUGCAACAUUUUCAAUGAAGAUAAAUUGUACAGUGAAACUGGAGGCUCGCCAGAGAGGUUGUUGAAGGCGAGGCAGAGGUAAUAGAGGCCCACAAUGUUGCCGAACCCAGGAGGGAUGGUGCCCUCUAGCUGGUUAAGUGGGAGGUCCAAGAUUGUAAGUGAUGAUAAGUUGGCCAGUGACACCGGGAUGGCUCCGGUGAGGUUGUUUCUUCUUAGGCUUAAUAUACUAAGGCUUGUCAGUUUGUUGCCAAUCUCAGAUGGCACAUGUCCAUGAAGCUGGUUCAAGCUGAUGUCCAUGACCAUUAGGCUGGUACAAGAGCUCAGGUUGACAGGGAUCUCACCGGAGAAUGCAUUGUCGCUCAGGUCGAGAGUAUGGAGGCGGUGCAGGCGGCCAAGGCUCGCAGGGAUGCUCCCACUGAACCCGUUGGAGCUUAGAUUGAGAAACCUGAGGGAUGACAGGUUGCCAACUGCUGGUGAGAGGAUGCCGGUAAGCCUGUGGGAAGGCAGGCUCAGUGCCACCACUCGUCGGUGCCUGCCGCGGCACCUCACCCCCUCCCAGUUGCAGUAUCCGCUGGUGCUACCGUUCCAUGAAGCAAGCGCGGCACCGUUGCCAGCACCACCGAUUGCUGCAGCCUUGAAGGCGAGCAAAGUGGCCCCGUCGUCGGCUUCUGCGGCCAGGAGGGUCGAAAUGGACAUGAAGGAGGACAGGAUCAUCAGAAGCAGCAAGCCCCCUGAAUGCUUUGCCAUGCCGGUUGGUUUGGUGCGCAGUGGCGAUUGGUGUUUGUUUGGCAUGCAGGAGCAAGCAGCAGCUAGUGCCCUGUCUCGCUGAGUGGACGUCGUUUGUCGGCAGGACCUGCUUCAUAUUUCCACGCUCUGAGCUGCUGAAAAACUUGAUUCACACUUUUAUCCAAGCAUGGGAUGUGCAUAGCCAGGGCCGAGGCAGGACACAAGAUCUGAGGGGUGCCGGUCCUCUUGAACAUGUGACCAACUGACCAUUGGUUAACAAAUGUUCAGUACAAGGUGAGAGAACUAAAGAAAACAACAGACUACACUGGGUUUCUUGAGUACAUGCAAAGUGAGCUGUGGUACUACAAACACAUCACUGAAGCCUGAAGCAUAUACUACAACAAAGUGUCAUAGGUCCAGCGCCUGAUAUUCUUGUUCUUCUUUUGCUCUAGAUAAUUUCUCUCUUAUGUCAACUAGGAAAAGGUCCAUUUUAUUCUCAUAAGUCUGCUCCAGUUGCUCUGAAACACGGUUUUUAGAGUCAUACAGGAUCGCGUACUGAGCCUUUGUCUUAGUGGGUCUUCUCCAACGUGCAGUGCCUCUGGGGAGGUCUUUCCCGCCAUGGUGUUUAGUUUUUUCACCUUCUAAAUCAUGUUUUUGUUUACUUAUGAUAUCUUUGGAUUGUUGGUAAUUGAAGGGAAAUUUGUAGGGUUUAAAUCCUUAUGAAAUUUGCCUAUACAGGUCCUUUUGGGGCAAAGAAUUGACUA